GCUCGCUUGGUGAAAUAGGUAAACACAGCAGACUCAAAAUUUGCACCCACUGGGUUAUCGGUUCGAUUCCGAUAGUGAGUA
rnacentral:tRNA from 1 species